GCCAUACAAGCAAUAAAACAAGAGCUAUCUGCAGACAGAAUGAAAAUAGAGGCUCUCCUGAGGACACAGAAGAGGAAACACAAGAAACUACUUCUGAAAAAAGCACUCAAGCGUCUUCAUCAUUCCGCUUCAGCCAGUCAGAGCUGAACCAGUCCAGGCACAGAUUUAUUGAACAUUUCACUUCCAAAGUGAUCAUUUUCAACUGCAGUGGGCAAUUGAAAUACAGAUUUAAACGUUGAAGGGAAAAUCCGAUUUCAUGAGAUUGAAGAGGUCAACUCCUUACUACCCUGACUGGUGAUAAAAUAAAAUACAACCACCACCACCCAUUGCUGCCCCGCAAUUGUUUGUGGCUGAUAUCUAAAAAAAUUUAAAUGUUGUAAGACAACUCAAGCUAAUUUCAAAUUAUGGAUCUUGUUCAGUAGGGGGUUGUGGCAUGGAAGCGCCUCUUCCUCACAGAAUUUCACAGAUGUGAGGUCAAGCAGAGGUGUGCACUGUUAAGAUAGGGAAAUAUA